CAAAAACAGGUGCAAUAAAGAGAUCUGAACUGAGAGCAUACUUUAUUUUACAACCAAAUCAAAAUGUUUAUAGUCAUAUAUGCUGUUCUCUUCUCUUUGGUGACAGAAGCUGUUCUGGGAGUGACACUGGAGCAAAAAGAUCUCUCCAUAACAAAAGAGGAGGGCAAAAGAGUGUCUAUCAGCUGCAAAGUGACUGGAUUAUCCACACAGUAUGUCCACUGGUACCAAAAGAAAGACAAUGAAGUUCUCACAAGGAUCCUAUAUGUCAAAAGUGGAAGCAAUCCUGUUCAUGAAAAUAACCAUCCUGAAGCAAAGGACUUCGAUGUGAGGAUACAGUCUGAUAAUUAUGAGCUGAGGAUAGCAAUCCUGAAGAAAAGUCACUCGGCAGUUUAUUACUGCGCCGCCUGGGACAGCACCCACAGUGACAGUAAAUAUUCACAGUGUGUACAAAAACCCUGAUGGUACACAACCACAACAGGAAAUGAUAUGAAGUGAGAAAAUGUGAAUACACACAUGUCAAACUCUACAGGAAUCUCAAAAAUAUUCCUGGGAAUAAACCCCUUAUCUUGUGAACAAUGUUUGUUUUUGACAGUCAGCUAGAAGCAGUACCUUUGGGUCUACCCUAUAGGUGUACAUGGCAGCACCAGUACGUGCCAGUAGUAUGUGGCACAAUUACUUUUGAUCUUUUAAAAAGGAAGGACCACAUAUAAAAAAUGCUGUACU